AUUACAUCACUAAGCCGCUGGCAUUCGUAGUCCGCUGAUGAUACAAAAAAUUAAUAACAAUUUUUUGGACAUAUGUAGCGGAUUAUUUAUGUUCCCAUUGUAUGCAUUUAAUUUAGAUUUAAAUUCUGCAAUUUUUAGAAAAAACCCCAUUCAAAUUCAUCAAAUGCAACACAAUUUAAGCUACCCAAAAUAAUUUCCACUGCAUUGCGACGAGCGUUCAACUCCGAAAAUGCUUUAGUAUCAAUUCGUGAUGGCCACCCGCCAUUAAGUAAAAACGUGUCCGCAGAAGAAAAACAAUUUCAAACGUUUUUGUUGACGAAACUGUCCAAAAUAUUGCUGGUUUCGCUGCGGAAAACAAAAAUACAGUGAAAGCAUAUGAUUUCCACUCAAUUGCGAAGUGAUAAGGUCAAAUAAAUUGCAAAAAAUGUGCGUGAAAAAUAUUUGAUAAAGCAAUACCAAGGAGAACAAGAAAUGAACAGAAACUAAAGAAACGCAACUGAAAGUCAAUAAUAAUAGGAAGACAAGAAACCGAAUAAAUUUAUUAA